UGAACGCUGGCGGUAGGCCUAACACAUGCAAGUCGAACGGCAGCACAGUAAGAGCUUGCUCUUACGGGUGGCGAGUGGCGGACGGGUGAGGAAUACAUCGGAAUCUACUUUUUCGUGGGGGAUAACGUAGGGAAACUUACGCUAAUACCGCAUACGACCUACGGGUGAAAGCAGGGGAUCUUCGGACCUUGCGCGAUUGAAUGAGCCGAUGUCGGAUUAGCUAGUUGGCGGGGUAAAGGCCCACCAAGGCGACGAUCCGUAGCUGGUCUGAGAGGAUGAUCAGCCACACUGGAACUGAGACACGGUCCAGACUCCUACGGGAGGCAGCAGUGGGGAAUAUUGGACAAUGGGCGCAAGCCUGAUCCAGCUAUACCGCGUGGGUGAAGAAGGCCUUCGGGUUGUAAAGCCCUUUUGUUGGGAAAGAAAAGCAGCAGGUUAAUACCCCGCUGUUCUGACGGUACCCAAAGAAUAAGCACCGGCUAACUUCGUG
rnacentral:rRNA from 1 species